CAAUAGCGUAUAUUAAAGUUGCUGCAGUUAAAAAGCUCGUAGUUGAAUUUCGGGUCCCCGCGCUCGGCGCUUCAUUGUGCCGUCGUGGUGUCCCUCCUCGCCGUAAGGCGUCCUUUACUGUGAAAAAAUUAGAGUGUUCAAAGCAGGCAAUCGCUUGAAUACAUUAGCAUGGAAUAAUAAGAUAGGAUCUUGUCUAUUUUGUUGGUUGCGGACAACGAUAAUGAUUAAUAGGGAUAGUUGGGGGUGUCCGUAUUGAGCUGUCAGAGGUGAAAUUCUUGGAUUUGCUCAAGACGAACUACUGCGAAAGCAUUCACCAAGGAUGUUUUCAUUAA
rnacentral:rRNA from 1 species